UUUUUUUUUUUUUUUUUUUUUGAGAUGGUAUUUCGCUCUUGUUGCCCAGGCUGGAGUGCAAUGGCGCGAUUUCAGCUCACUGCAACCUCCGCCUUCUGGGCUGAGGCAGGAGAAUGGCGUGAACCUGGGAGGCGGAGGUUGCAGUGAGCCGAGAUCGUGCCACUGCACUCCAGCCUGGGCGACAGCGUAAGACUCUUAUCUCAAAAAAACAAACAAAAAACAGCAACAACAACAACAACAAAACCAUCCUCUCCUCCUGAGGGGACAGAACAGAAACGAAUGGGCGAGCGCCGGGCAAAGCAGUGGGUCUCCAGUAGGUGGCAUUAAAAUAGGAAUCUUGGUUGGGGGCGGUGGCUCACGCCUGUAAUCCCAGCACUUUGGAAAGCCGAGGCGGGCGGUCACCUGAGGUCAGAACCAGCCUCGCCAACAUGGUGAAAUGCCGUCCCUACUAAAAAUACAAAAAUUAGCCAGGCGUGGUGGUGGGUGGCUGUAAUCUCAGCAAUUCGGGAGUCUGAGGCAGGAGAAUCGCUUGAACCAGGGGGGCAGAGGUUGCAGUGAGUCGAGAUUGCACCACCGCACUCCAGCCUGCGCAACAAGAGUGUAACUCUGUCUCAAAAAUAAAUUAAAUAAA
rnacentral:lncRNA from 1 species